rnacentral:rRNA from 1 species
UGGGGAAUAUUGCACAAUGGGCGAAAGCCUGAUGCAGCAACGCCGCGUGAAGGAUGAAGUAUUUCGGUAUGUAAACUUCUAUCAGCAGGGAAGAUAAUGACGGUACCUGACUAAGAAGCCCCGGCUAACUACGUGCCAGCAGCCGCGGUAAUACGUAGGGGGCAAGCGUUAUCCGGAUUUACUGGGUGUAAAGGGAGCGUAGGCGGCUUUGCAAGUCAGAAGUGAAAGCCCGGGGCUCAACUCCGGGACUGCUUUUGAAACUGCAGGGCUAGAUUUCAGGAGAGGUAAGCGGAAUUCCUAGUGUAGCGGUGAAAUGCGUAGAUAUUAGGAGGAACACCAGUGGCGAAGGCGGCUUACUGGACUGAUAAUGACGCUGAGGCUCGAAAGCGUGGGGAGCAAACAGG